rnacentral:rRNA from 1 species
AGAGUUUGAUCCUGGCUCAGGACGAACGCUGGCGGCGCGCCUAACACAUGCAAGUCGAACGAGCGAGAGAGAGCUUGCUUUCUCGAGCGAGUGGCGAACGGGUGAGUAACGCGUGAGGAACCUGCCUCAAAGAGGGGGACAACAGUUGGAAACGACUGCUAAUACCGCAUAAGCCCACAGGUCGGCAUCGACCAGGGGGAAAAGGAGCAAUCCGCUUUGAGAUGGCCUCGCGUCCGAUUAGCUAGUUGGUGAGGUAAUGGCCCACAAGGCAACGAUCGGUAGCCGGACUGAGAGGUUGAACGGCCACAUUGGGACUGAGACACGGCCCAGACUCCGUAGGNGCA